rnacentral:rRNA from 1 species
GACGAACGCUGGCGGCGUGCUUAACACAUGCAAGUCGAACGGAAAGGCCCUGCUUUUGUGGGGUGCUCGAGUGGCGAACGGGGGAGUAACACGUGAGUAACCUGCCCCUGACUGUGGGAUAACUUCAGGAAACUGGGGCUAAUACAGGAUAGGAGCUCCUGCUGCAUGGGGGGGGUUGGAAAGUUUCGGCGGUUGGGGAUUGACUCGCGGCUUAUCAGCUGGUUGGGGGGGUAGUGGCUUACCAAGGCUUUGACGGGUAGCCGGCGUGAGAGGGUGGCCGGCCACAUUGCGCCUGCGAUACGGCCCAGACUCCUACGGGAGGCAGCAGUGGGGAAUAUUGCACAAUGGGCGGAAGCCUGAUGCAGCAACGCCGCGUGCGGGAUGACGUCCUUCGGGUUGUAAACCGCUUUCGCCUGUGACGAAGCGUGAGUGACGGUAAUGGGUAAAGAAGCACCGGCUAACUACGUG